rnacentral:rRNA from 1 species
GAAUCCCGUCUUUGGCAUGGAUGACCGGGGCUUUUGUGAUGCGCUCUCGAAGAGUCGAGUUGUUUGGGAAUGCAGCUCAAAAUGGGUGGUGAACUCCAUCUAAAGCUAAAUAUUGGCGAGAGACCGAUAGCGAACAAGUACCGUGAGGGAAAGAUGAAAAGCACUUUGGAAAGAGAGUGAAACAGUACGUGAAAUUGUUGAAAGGGAAACGCUUGAAGUCAGUCGCGUCGGCCGAGACUCAGCCUUGCCUCGGCUUGGUGUACUUCUUGACCGACGGGUCAGCAUCAAUUUUGCCCCUUGGAUAAUGGCGAGGGAAAUGUGACACCUUUAUAGGUGUGUUAUAGUCUCUCGUCGCAUGCAAGGGUCGGGAUUGAGGAACUCAGCACGCGCCUUCGGGCGUCGGGGCCUUGCCCACGAUACGUACUUAGGAUGUUGGCGUAAUGGCUUUAAACGACCCGUCUUGAAACACGGACCAAGGAGUCUAACAUGCCCGCGAGUGUUUGGGUGUCAAACCCGAGCGCGUAAUGAAAGUGAAAGUUGAGAUCCCUGUCGUGGGGAGCAUCAACGCCCGGACCAGACCUUUUGUGACGGAUCUGCGGUAGAGCGUGUAUGUUGGGACCCGAAAGAUGGUGAACUAUGCCUGAAUAGGGUGAAGCCAGAGGAAACUCUGGUGGAGGCUCGUAGCGAUUCUGACGUGCAAAUCGAUCGUCAAAUUUGGGUAUAGGGGCGAAAGACUAAUCGAACCAUCUAGUAGCUGGUUCCUGCC